CCGCCGGGACUGGCCAGGGCUCGCAGCUCGCCUGCUAGAGUUUGUGGCACGCCCUCGGGAUCAGGGCACUGGGGUAUGAAGGGGCUGCAGCGUGGGAAGCCUUUAUUUAUUUAUUUAUUUGUUUGUUUGUUUAUUUAUUUAUUUAUUUAUUUAUGUGAGCUGCGUGUGCCCAGAUUGAGGAAGCAGUUUUGUCACACAAGUUCAACACGUUCCACGCUGGUCACAAGCUAACAAGUGAGGAAACUUAGGCUCAAGUUGACACUCAAGCUCACCUUGCAAGAUAGUGGCAGAGCUGAUAAGUUCAAUGCUCUUUCUGUCAUCCCAUGCUGCCAUAAAUAUUUGUUCAGCAAGUCUUUUGUCUGUUGAUAUGGUAACGGAAAACUUCUGCUUAGCCAGACUUUCAGUAGAUCAGAAAUUCCGAUUUAAGGUGAGUCUGAAUUAAUGAGGUUUUACUUUAUUUGCAAUUUAAU